GCUCCCCAAUCUGGCCAAGUUCUGGGCCACCCCCACCUGCUUCCCACAGGCAGUGGAAACAGCUGGAAGGAGGGAAUUCAGGAGAAGGGCUGGGUAAGUGGAAAUUGAGAGGACAGGGGGAGAUAGAGAGGGAGAGAAGAAGAAAGACCCCUGCUGAAGCUUCCCCUGUGCAGGUUGAAGGAGCCUCAUUCUUGAGAUUAUCACUGCCAGUUCUCAUGGUUGAAAUGCCACACCCCCACCUUGACCUCUCCAGUGAUCUCUUGGUGAAAUUCACGGACUGGCAUCAGAGAAGACCCAUGCCCAUUCUAGGGGUUGGUGGGCGGGGGGAGACUCCUACAAGCAGCUAUUUUCCUCAAAGCACUCUGGGUGGCAGAAUGUGACAGACAACUAAAAAAUUGUCUGAGGUG